UAUUGACGUAAUUUUGCCUACAUUGCUAUCCUAAAUUAUAUUUUUUACUGCUUCACUGUAAAUUAUCUUGUUUACAAAGGUAAAUUAUUACUGCUGCAUUCAUACUAGUAGUAUUUUCCCUGCCUGGGUUAUUGAGCAUGAAUUUCCAGUAAACAAAAAUAGAUGCCUUAAAGUGAUUGUGCUAUAAUAUGAGCAAGUGAGGUCUUCGAAUACUAUGGUUUCUGCAAUCUGAAUUUGAUUGGCUUCUUCUUUGUUGCUUUUGAACUUUCACUAUGUUUUAAAGAGAUCCUAGACAAUGUUCAACUAAGUUCAAUAAAUUUAAAGAGUCGGGAAGAUUUGAAACAUUGUCUGGCCUCUAGCUGUAGCUUCUUCAAUUGCUUGAUGGCCUUUUAACUGAAGCUUUAACUUGACAAUCGAAAGGCCAAACAAAGAAAUGUUACUGAAUUGAAAGAAUCAAGGGGUGGUUAUUACUAGUUAAAUGGGUUAUAGUUCACGUGUUUACAUACCACACUGGCUGAAGCACUCGCUGAAGAAAAUUGCUUAAUGAUUAAAGCUGCUAUUCAGGCACCGCAGAAGAAUGAAUAUACAUAUUGCGCUUGAACAUGUUAUACGAUAUGUUAAGGAGUUAAAUGACAAUGAAUGAGAUAUGCUGCAGAGUCAAUGCUUGCUGCAAAACUGUCAUAAGAAGGUGCACAGUCGUCGAUCCUGUGGAGAUUUAGCGCACUGAAUAACACUGAGGAAGAUACUCUCGUCGCAGGGAAUACAAAGCCUUGGGUCAGCAGCAAAAUCAUAAACUUCCUGAGCUUGAUCCAAGAGUGCCUGGAAAAGUGGAUGCUUCAGUAAGGUAACUUUAAUCACAAACCUCUUGUGGUAUUCUCCCACAUACACCACCAUAUGACCCUUGGGCACAUCGCUCGGGACACUAAUCUUCUCUUGGUGCAUCAAAGUCCAUUCAGACCAUUUGCAGCACCCUUCGCAGGCUGCACAAGGUAUGACUCUUUGACUCAUUCUUCCCCACUUUUUCAUGCAUGCUUUGAGAAUCUUUCCUGUCCUAAAAUUCAUCUAUGUGUUUAGAACUUUGCACUAUAGGACUGAUGGGAUUGCCGUGGUGUACUUAUUUUUGGGGAUUGGUGUUGGUUGAAUGUCAGGAAUAGGAAAGGCUUAUAUAAAGAGUUGGAAAGAGCCAAGGGUUUUAGAACAUUAAAUGGUUUGACAAAUAUGGGUGUAGCUAAGAGGUAAGUUUAGUGUGACAGUGAUUUGUUUUUUAAAAAAAGUGCAGAUUGAUCAGAUGUACCUUUCUCUCCCUUAUUUAGUAUUGCAUCUCUAUACGAAAUUGUACGAACAUGCAUUGCAUGAUUGAGAUUAACAUUUCUGCUAUAAAAAAAGAGGAUAUAUCAAUCAGCAGCACAGAAUCUUCUCUCUCUGUGAUCUCUCGAAGUUAGACCCACCAGUAGAGUGAAAGAAUAGAUAAGAUACGAAAUAGGGAUGGGAUAGAUAAGCUUCUUGGGCAAAGUGCAAUAUCCUCUUAUAACCCUCUUCAUAGAUAUUAUAAAAAAUCAACCUUCUCUCUUUGUAUCUCUCUCUCUCUCUCUACAUUAUGGAAGGAGAUGGAGAUACAGAUGCAGAUGCGUUCAUUUUUACAUCCUGUUAAUUUGACCAAUAGACAACUGUAAGGGUUGGUGGUGGUUCUUGAAUCAGGGUUAAGAGAAUUCAAUUCAUGAAGAUGCACUUGAGUUGAAGGUUCCAAAUCAGUCAACUACUUCAUGACAGCUUUCCUAAUUUGCUGACUAAUGAUGUUUAGAUUGCCAUGCCUCAAAACCAGAAACCAGAAGCACAUCACUUCGCUGUCUUCAAGAACUGAGAAAGAAAUGUAAUGCAGUAAGGAUCGCAUAGUAUAUACCCAUAAUUGGGAUUGAACUUGUUAUAGCAGUGAAGUAGCUGAAGAUGGAU